rnacentral:rRNA from 1 species
GAUGAACGCUGGCUACAGGCUUAACACAUGCCAGUCGAGGGGAAACGACGGGGAAGCUUGCUUCCCCGGGCGUCGACCGGCGCACGGGUGAGUAACGCGUAUCCAACCUGCCUCUGACUGAGGGAUAACCCGUCGAAAGUCGGCCUAAUACCUCAUGGCAUCGUCUGCGGGCAUCCAACGACGAUUAAAGAUUUCAUCGGUCAGGGAUGGGGAUGCGUCUGAUUAGCUUGUUGGCGGGGUAACGGCCCACCAAGGCUACGAUCAGUAGGGGUUCUGAGAGGAAGGUCCCCCACAUUGGAACUGAGACACGGUCCAAACUCCUACGGGAGGCAGCAGUGAGGAAUAUUGGUCAAUGGGCGGGAGCCUGAACCAGCCAAGUAGCGUGCAGGAUGACGGCCCUAUGGGUGGUAAACUGCUUUUAGGCGGGGAUAAAGUGAGGGACGUGUCCUUCAUUGCAGGUACCGCAUGAAUAAGGACCGGCUAAUUCCGUG